GAUGAACGCUGGCGGCGUGCCUAAUACAUGCAAGUCGAGCGAGAAGCUUGGAAAUGACGCUUCGGUUGAUUUUCCAAGCGGACAGCGGCGGACGGGUGAGUAACGCGUAGGCAACCUGCCCCUGACAGAGGGAUAGCCAUUGGAAACGAUGAUUAAAACCUCAUGACACCGUAGUAGCACAUGCUACAUCGGUCAAAGAUUUAUCGGUCAGGGAUGGGCCUGCGUCUGAUUAACUGGUUGGUGAGGUAACGGCUCACCAAGGUGACGAUCAGUAGCCGACCUGAGAGGGUGAUCGGCCACAUUGGAACUGAGACACGGUCCAAACUUCUACGGAAGGCAGCAGUAGGGAAUCUUGCACAAUGGGCGAAAGCCUGAUGCAGCAACGCCGCGUGAAGGAUGAAGGCCUUCGGGUUGUAAACUUCUGUUCUAAGGGAGGAAAGAAAUGACGGUACCUUAGGAGCAAGCCCCGGCUAACUACGUGCCAGCAGCCGCGGUAAUACGUAGGGGGCAAGCGUUAUCCGGAAUUAUUGGGCGUAAAGAGUGCGUAUGUGGUUACCUAAGCGCAAGGUUUAA
rnacentral:rRNA from 1 species